CUCUCAUUCUUAAGGGGGAAAGAUUCAGCAACGCAAUAGCAACGAAAUCGAUUCGAAGAUUUCAUACAAAGUGUACCUAAUGUUAUCACAACGUGAAAUUUCGAUUCUAAGGGAUUUCGGUUUAAUUCUUCUCAAGAGUAUCAUACGGAUUUUUUCCUAUUCUCGGUAUAGAUAAUCAGUUUGGCGAGCCUUCAUAGUAGACGAGACUGACAUUCAGCGAAGGAUCGGUAAGACUCCAGCUCAUUCGGAGUGCGACCGAGUGUAUGAGUCAUCGUGUCAAAGUUUUUCUACAGACUUAUGGUUAGGCUGGUACCCUGUCCAAUUUGAUGUCAAAUAAUUCUAGAGGCUUUGUAGACAGAGGUUCAUUUUGUACAGUAUGUUAGAGGCCUUAACGGCCCAUAUAUAUUCUUGUUUUAAGAACGAUAGCUUUUUGA